CCGGUUGAUCUUGAGCCUUCGCUGGCCCCCAAGACCAGUAGUGUGGGUGACGCUUACCUCAAACACAAGUAUCUCCGAAGCCCCGUUGUCGAAGACAACAAUGUCCGGAUGUCGGUGAGCCAUCCGCGCUUGUGUGGGUAUGGCGGUGUGAGGAAUAAGGGUUCGACUCCGGAGAGGGAGCCUGAGAAACGGCUACCACAUUCAAGGAAGGCAGCAGGCGCGCAAAUUACCCACUCUCAGCAUGAGGAGGUAGUGACGAAAAAUAACGAGACCGUUCUCUUUGAGGCCGGUUAUCGGAAUGGGUACAAUUUAAACCCGUUAACGAGGAUCUAUGAGAGGGCAAGUCUGGUGCCAGCAGCCGCGGCAAUUCCAGCUCUCAAAGUGUAUAUCGUCAUUGCUGCGGUUAAAAAGCUCGUAGUUGGAUCUUCACUUCAGGACCCGGUCCGCCCAUUUGGACGAGGAAUGGGCUCCGAAGUUCGAAAUGCCGGUUUUCUCUGUGCCACCUCCAUCGGUCGCACAGGGUAGCCAGGAAGUUUACGUUGGAAAAAUUAGAGUGCUCAAUGCGGGCUAAUGUCUGAAUAUUCGUGCAUGGAAUAAUGAAAUAGGAUCGCGGUUCUAUUUUAUUGGUUUUCGGAACUGUGACAGCAGUUAAGAGAGAUAGAUGGGGGAAAAUUUACCCCCUUUCCGCCUUGCUGUCCAUCACGCACAAAUAUGCCCCCAAGCGAUAAGAAACAGAGACAUGCUUUCCUUCUG
rnacentral:ncRNA from 1 species